AAGGAGGGUACACAUGAUUUUUCUAUUGAUGAAUUCCAGGUUCACCAAAAGUUAAGUCCCAUCAGAUGAAAACUUGGAACUCUAGAUAUUGGGGCUAAUAUUCUUGAUAUUUCUGCUGAAAAUAUUGACAGGAACAAAGACAAAUAUUGUUCUUACUGGCAAAUUGCCUGUAAAGAAUGAUGGAUGAACUUCAUAUAACAAAAAAAACCCAGAUUUUACUUUUUGUAUUUAUUAAAUAAAUUAAAUAUUUGUAAAACUUAAAUGAAAUGGGCUGAACAUUUGAAGAUACCAACCUCUUCCUGCACUUGCUUUCGUCCAGAGGCCUGGAGGCGGACCCUACCACCUGGCCACCGUCUGCACACCUCUUUGCUGGGCAGAUGUUUUCACCUUUCAUUAAGAAUCUAGUGGAUUCUCACUGCAAGGGAGCUGCAGAGGCAAAGUCUCUGAAGACCAAAUCAACAUACAAGAACUUCUUACACAGAAGAGCUAAGAAUUAACUUCCCU
rnacentral:lncRNA from 1 species